rnacentral:rRNA from 1 species
GUGAACGCUGGUGGUGUGCUUAACACAUGCAAGUCGAACGGUAACAGGAAGUAGCUUGCUACUUUGCUGACGGGUGGCGCACGGGUGAGUAAACUAUAGUUAAUGUGCCUCGAAGACUGGGAUAGCCACUGGAAACGGUGAUUAAUAUUAGAUAUAUUUUUUUAGCUCAAGUUAGAGAGGGAAACGUUUUUUCGCUUCGAGAUCAGACUAUAUCCUAUCAGUUAGUUGGUGAGGUAAUGGCUCAUUAAGGCAAUGACGGGUAGCGGUUCGGAGAGGAUGAUCCGCCACACUGGUACUGAGAUACGGACCAGACUCCUACGGGAGGCAGCAGUGAGGAAUAUUGCACAAUGGGGGGAACCCUGAUGCAGCAACGCCGCGUGGAGGAUGACGCAUUUCGGUGUGUAAACUCUUUUUAUAUGUUAAGAAAAUGACGGUAGCAUAUGAAUAAGCACCGGCUAACUCCGU